AGUGGAAAGGCAGCUUCAAAACUGCGUCAACCGCUGGCUCUUUCGGCGCUCAUUGUCAUCCCGAGUACGCGAUGCAGGGUGCCUAUUGUGUAGUUUUACAAGAGAUCAGUGGCGGAUUGCGGAGCUCUUCUACCCACUCCCUCGGCAAUCGUCAACUUCACGACCGAUGUCGUGAGUGCACUCAGUAAUUUGCGUCGUCUGGAGGAAACAACGCCAGGGCAAGUCGUGCUAUGGAUGUGCUGGCAGUGAGCGAACAAUCACGGCAAUGUUUUUUUUAUUGCAUUUAAAGCUGUUAAGCUUUGCAAUCUGCUCUUUGUAUUCGACGCUGUGAGGUAGAAUAUGGAAUGCUUGAUGAUUGUCUAUUUUUCCACAGCAACUUUUAUCUCUAUCAAAUGCCGUCGACAUUUAUUCGACCAGGGAGUUGGUGUCAGACCUGCAGUGAGCUCUUCCGUAGUGAGCGAGGCGGAAAGCAUUGAAGGACCGAUGUCAGUAUUAUCAAUUGAUAGAUAAGUUAUGCUUGCUGAGCGUAUCAAUUUGAGAAGAGGCUAUACCGGCGUUGUUCCAAGGUUGGCAUUAUCAGAGAUAGACAAACUUAUGGCUAAUGUGUUUCAAACUUGAAGAAACUUGACUGAGAAUGAGGUAUUUAAGAUUCACUUUGCGAGCGAGGCGGAGAAGUUGAACAGGACCUGUAAAUCCAUCAAAGUGGACAGGAGCAGGUGAGGUUCACCAACACAAGCCACGUUCAUGAACCACUGGCCUGUAUUAGACUGUAUCAUCCUCCUGGCUUUUACAUCAGUUUGUAAUUACUGUUAUCAUCAGUAUCUUAGUAUUUAGAUAGGACCUGCUACGCUUAUUGGAAGUUUUUCAGUUUAUGAAGUUAGUGUUACUAUCCUGGUAUUAGAGCUGGGAUACCCCAAGAUUAUUGCAAUAUGAGUGAUACGUGUGAGUCUAGAAAGAAAGAGUUUGUACGGAUUAGUUUAAGAGAGAAAGAGCCGAGUGUAUACAAGUACAAUAUAUAACGUGCUAGCAAAAGAGCGAUAAUUAGAAGGAUCGUCAAACUUCAGAGCGUGGAAAGACACUGUGCAUGAUGUUUUUGAAAAUGAAGACUUGUGGAAUUUACUUGAACCAGAGGACAAGGAAUUAGAAGAAGAGGAAGGAGAAUCAACUAUAACCAACAGCCAAUUCCCAGGAAGAAGCAACACAGUUAAGUUGCCUUCACAACGCGAACUCCAUUGGAGAAGGAAGCUCAAGGUAAUUCGCAUAUUCAAAAUGACUGUGUCACCUAAGAUGCUAUUCUUCAUCAGAAAUGUCAAAGAACUUGCAGCUGUAUGGAAAUUUCUACAUGUAAAAUACCAUAUUCAAGCAAUAAAAUGUUAUAUAUUUAUUUA